rnacentral:miRNA from 1 species
UCAGAUCAUCUCUUGACUGUG